UACGGAGGAUGCGAGCGUUAUCCGGAUUUAUUGGGUUUAAAGGGUGCGUAGGCGGCCAUGUAAGUCAGCGGUAAAAGCCCGGGGCUCAACCCCGGCGAGCCGUUGAAACUGUCAGCCUUGAGUGAGCGAGAAGUAAGCGGAAUGCGUGGUGUAGCGGUGAAAUGCAUAGAUAUCACGAAGAACUCCGAUUGCGAAGGCAGCCUACCGUAGCGUUACUGACGCUGAGGCUCGAAGGUGCGGGUAUCGAA
rnacentral:rRNA from 1 species